rnacentral:rRNA from 1 species
AUGACAUCGACCCCGCAGCCUCCCCGCGAUCGCGCGCACGCCGCCCCGCCCGCGCAGGACCUCACCGGCCUCGGCCUCGCGGCCGCGAGGUCCCUCCGCCACCGCCCACCUCGCCAAGGGUCGAUGCCUUCAGGUUCUGUGGAGCACCAGACCAUUUCAGGCUCACUGAUCCACUCAAUGAUUCAGUUCUGCGGAGCACCAGAGUACUUCAUGUUCAAUGAUCCGCAGCCGGUGAUCCCACACCAUGUGGCCGCGGAACCCAGUCACAAUGCUCCCGUGGCCACCCUCUCCAGGGCCACCAACACAGAGACUGACAACCCCGAAGACUGGGAGUUCAUCUCGGAUGAGUCGCUCAACUACAUCAGCCGGAUGCUCAUGGAGGAGGACAUUGAUGAGAAGGUCAGCGUGUACCAGGAGGAGUCAGCCACUCUCCGUGCUACCGCAAAGCCCUUCUAUGACAUCCUUGGGCACAAGUUCCCGCCGUCCCCUGACCGCACGCUCACGACUUGGUCCCUGGACAGCCCCAGUGAGAGCAGCAGCAGCGGUCAUGCCCAGUCCUUGUCCAGUGUGGGUACUAGCGGCAGCAUCGGUGGUGCGGUUCAUAGCAACCAGUGCCAUAAUGUUGGACACUCUGAGCAGCUGGAAGCUUAUCGCGGCUUGUGUGGCCGAUCUUCUCAGCCACUGGUUGCCCCACCAAGUGGUGUUUCUGAUGCAGCAGAGUCACUAGAAGAUCCUUUGAUCACCAACGGCAGGAUCCCCGAGUAUUUGUUCGAGAGCCUUCCAACUUGGGAUUUCAGGAGAGGUGUCGAGGAAGCACAGAAGUUUCUCCCUGGUGGUGAUAAGCUAGUGAUUGAUUUAGAAGCUGCUGGUGUCUCAAAGCCUCAAGAAGCAGUGAAAGACAUUCCUUUCAAUGUGAGCAGGACAGAGGUCUUGAAGGCCAAGAAAAACAGACAGAGCGAAGAUCUUGACUUGAUAGAAGGACGGAACAUUAAACAAUCUGCAUUCUGUUCCGAUGAGCCUGAUGAUUGGGUUGAGAUGUUUGAUGAUUUGUUUCGUCAAACUGAAAAAAAGGCUACAGUUCUGCGAGAAAAGAUGCGCAGCGAAGCUUCCAAGAAUUCUCAGGUCAUUCAAACGAAAGGAACAACUGGGGUGAAGACACGGGGCAGGAAGCCGACUAAAAAUGAUGUGGUGGACCUUAGGACCAUCCUCAUCCACUGUGCACAGGCAGUGGCAGCUGAUGACCGCCGAACUGCUAAUGAGUUGCUAAAGCAAAUAAAACAGCAUUCCAAGGUAAAUGGGGAUGGCAGCCAGAGGCUGGCGUUUUGCUUUGCACAGGGUCUCGAGGCUCGCUUGGCUGGCACAGGGAGCCAGCAGUACCAUAGGCUUGUAGCAAAGCGGACAACCGCGUCCGACAUGCUUAAGGCGUACCAUCUUUACUUUGCAGCAUGCCCAUUCAAGAGGCUCUCACAUUUCCUCUCCAAUCAAACAAUCUUGAGCAUGACAAAAAAUGCAAAGAAGGUGCACAUAAUUGACUUCGGCAUUUAUUUUGGCCUCCAAUGGCCAUGCCUCAUCAGGCGUCUCUCCAAGAGGGAAGGUGGUCCACCAAUUCUUCGCAUCACGGGAAUUGAUGUACCCGAGCCCGGUUUCCGCCCUACCGAGCGCAUCGAAGAGACGGGACAGAGGCUUGCAGAGUAUGCCAAGAAGUUUGAGGUGCCUUUUGAGUACCAUGGCAUAGCAUCAAAGUGGGAAACCAUCCGUGCUGAGGAUCUCAAGGUUGGCAAAGACGAAGUGGUGAUUGUUAAUUGCCUGUACCGUUUCAGAAAUCUUAUUGACGAAACAGUGGCUGUAGACAGCCCUAGGAAUAGGGUGCUCAACACUAUAAGGCAAGUGAAUCCAGCAAUUUUCAUCCAUGGGAUUGUGAAUGGGUCAUACAGUGUUCCUUUCUUCAUCACACGUUUCCGUGAGGCAUUGUUCCAUUUCUCUGCAUUGUUUGACAUGCUUGAGGCAACUGUGCCGCGGGAUGAUGACCAGCGUAGGCUCAUAGAGAGGGAUCUCUUUGGCCGAGAGGCACUCAAUGUGAUUGCAUGUGAGGGCUCAGACAGAGUCGAGAGGCCAGAGACAUAUAAACAGUGGCAAGUCAGGAACCUGAGGGCUGGAUUUGUUCAGUCUCCGCUAAACCAGGACAUUGUGAUAAAAGCCAAAGACAAAGUGAAAGAUAUAUAUCACAAAGAUUUUGUCAUAGACGAAGACAGUGGAUGGCUCCUCCAAGGGUGGAAAGGAAGGAUAAUUUAUGCUAUAACUACAUGGAAGCAUAAUAACAGUUAG